CGAACGCUGGCGGCAGGCCUAAUACAUGCAAGUCGAACGGCUCUUCGGAGCAGUGGCGGACGAGUGAGUAACGCGUGGGAAUGUGCCCUUAGGUACGGAACAACACAGGGAAACUUGUGCUAAUACCGUAUGUGCCCUUCGGGGGAAAGAUUUAUCGCCUUUGGAGCAGCCCGCGUUGGAUUAGGUAGUUGGUGAGGUAAAGGCUCACCAAGCCGACGAUCCAUAGCUGGUCUGAGAGGAUGACCAGCCACACUGGGACUGAGACGCGGCCCAGACUCCUACGGGAGGCAGCAGUAGGGAAUCUUGCGCAAUGGGCGAAAGCCUGACGCAGCCAUGCCGCGUGUAUGAUGAAGGUCUUAGGAUUGUAAAAUACUUUCACCGGGGAAGAUAAUGACGGUACCCGGAGAAGAAGCCCCGGCUGACUUCGUGCCAGCCGCCGCAGUAACAC
rnacentral:rRNA from 1 species